rnacentral:rRNA from 2 species
GACGAACCACCCAAACGUUAUUCGGAAUUACUGGGCUUAAAGGGUGCGUAGGCGGCGCGGAAAGUUGGAUGUGAAAUCCCUCGGCUCAACCGAGGAACUGCGUUCAAAACUACCGUGCUUGAGGAAUACAGAGGUAAGCGGAACUUCGGGUGGAGCGGUGAAAUGCGUUGAUAUCCGAAGGAACACCGGUGGCGAAAGCGGCUUACUGGGUAUUUUCUGACGCUGAUGCACGAAAGCCAGGGGAGCAAACGGG